UGGAUUUUUCCUUAAUUCUCUAAAAUAGACAAUUGUCAUCUAAACGUUUAACCACCUAUCUUACUGAAAGGUUUAAUCUCCCUGUGUUUUGUGACUUUCUUUCCACUCUCUCGUCCUCCAAAUUUAGGGUCUUAUAAAUGUAUCUGUGGAUUUUAUGUUGGACAGAGUAUCUGGAGACCAGGAGGCUGUGUUGCAGUCAGCCCAUGUUGGUAAUGCAGGAACUUAAAAUUGUGUUCCCUGCUGCCCAUCCUGGCUCAACUCUAUCCAACUUGUUCCCAAAUUGUCAAAAUGCUGUUUCCCACACAGGAGGGGUGUUAGACUGCAACUAGAGGACCUCAACAUGGUUAUUCAAGAUGUCUUGUGGUAUGGUGGCUCCACCAUCUUCCCAUCCUGGAAAAGCAGAGACAGCAAGAUGCACAGCUGACUCCAGAAUUUUGUUCCUGCUUCUAGGAUAGGCAAGAUGGCCAGUUAUCACCCUCCUUGUGCUCAGAAUUCUACCUGGUGGCAGAAGCCACCUGUUCUAGGAGAGUCUUCUCUUGGGACAGGUGUGUACAUUAUAAAUGAAAAGCUUAUUUUUAGCACCCUGAAUCCAUCAGAGACCACCAAAGUGGCCUUUAUUACCCAUUCUAGCUCAACAUGACUGGAGGGCAGAGAUGGCAGGAAAACCUCUUGAGAAAUUGACACAUGUUCCUCCAAAAUUGGAUCUUUGCCUGCUUCAACUCUCAUCUCUGUUUGCCAAAUAAAUAUUUAGGUACCUAAAACCUGGCAUAGUUUUAGCUCUGAGGACCCAGCAAUAAUCAAGAGACCCCAUGCCAGCCCUAUGGUUCUCAUAAUUUGUGAGGAGGAUAUCACAAAAUAACCACAGGUUUUAGAAUGAUUGAAAGUGCUGACCCUCAUUCUCUCUCCUGACACCUCGGCUCCAGUCUCAGCCUCAGUUUCCGUGGCUAUUGGAAGAAAUUUCGUUUCAAGUCCUUCGUGUCUGAGCCCCUCCGUGUCACCUGUAUCGUGACCAAAGGGUUGGUCGGCAUACAGGACACCAGCAACUCUGGGACUGUCUCCAUGACAACACAUCAGCACAUCCUGCCCUCAGAGCCCUGGAGGCCCUACCCUACAUUCUUGUACCACUUAUAAUGAUCAUUCUUGAUAUUCUGUAACUGAUGAUUCAGCAUCCUGCAAUCAUGAAAAAAUUAAUGACCCAUGUUGUUUACA